CCACCUCGGAGUGACAACAGCAGUGCAUCAAAGCAGAAGAUGGAAUAUGUUAUAAACAGCUACUAUGGGUCAGUAAUUUAUAGACAUAAGUUUAAUAAUACAUAAAAACUUACUUUACAUUCUUCAGGCAAAAGAACAGCAAGGCCUAAGGCAAGAGCUAGAGCCCUCAGAGGCAGACCUUUGCACCGCCCUCCUGACUUCACACAACACAGUUAUGAAGCCAGCUGGUUCAUCAAGAUGGGUUUAAGAAUAAACACAAGGCAGAAAAAAAGGCAGUGUUUCCAAGCAUGGAGAGAAGCAGAUGAAAACAUACAGGACUUGAGAAGAUCCAUCUGCUGAAGGCCAAGACAGAACAGCAGGCUGGUGGCAGCCUCAGCAGCCAGGUUUGAUGGCUUGCAGAGGCUGGGCUGAGGCUCUUCCAGCCAAUCCAGCCCUGAAUGAAAUGGAGAGACAGGAAGCCUCAAGAGGAGCUUUCCUAUAUUAUGAAUCAGAUGCAAACAUGACCCUACAGGAGACUGCAGCAGCACAAGGCAGCCAGCCCAGCACUGAAAUAGGUGACAAAUUAGAGAGAGGAUGGCAAGCAGAUUUUUAUCUUUGCUCUCUGGCAAACAGUGAGACCUGGGGGUUCAGUACCUUGGCAUGUACAGCUCCAGGCCAGCAAAGCUCUCUGUUCUUCUGGACAGAAACAAUACACUGCUCCACCUCCCUCUUUCAUGCCACCAGCUUCUAAUUUGCACCUCCAAAGUAAGGCAGUAGCAAUGGCAAAGAUCAGAGAACUGGCACACUACUGAGCAAUUCUGAAAACCAAUUUAAUGGCGAAGAGCAAAGCAGGAAGCCUGAAUAGGCUAUGAGGGACAUGCACAUCAAACCAUGUGGUGCAAGCACUUGACUGCUAGGAUAAAAGAUGAGAGACCACAGGCAAAUUUUAUUAAACUCUUAGUUGAAUCCUUCUGCAAAUCUUCUCACUCUCAUCAUCACAUUUGAUGAAAUCACCCUGCUGACAGCAAAUUGGGACAGAGAAGGACAACACUGAGCUCCAGCUACAAUGGAAAUGCCUCCCCUGCAGAAGGGUAGGAUAUCAGUGAUGACACAAUUGAUAAAGGCUAAACAACAGAGCAUCAGCACAUGGAGUUUUUUCAUCUUCUCAUCACCAAAAAAACCCAAGAACUGCAAUGAAAUGAACGUCAGAGACAUAAACAAGGGAACAGCUGCUCUAAGAAGCCACUUAAGCAACUACCAAGGACUAGAGUAGUAGAAACAUCUGUGCACCUUAAAAUAGGCUGUCUGCAGCGUGUAAGGGCAGAAAGGGAAUUUAAGAACAGCUAUGGAAAAAGCACCAGAAACAGCUCCUGCUGCUGCUCUCCUCACACCCUUUCCUAACUCUACAAUAUAAAAGCAGCCUGUUACUACAGCAGCACAGCCAUAUGACCUCCUGCGAUCUUAUCAAUUUGCAAUGACUUAUAUUUUACCAGUUUAAGACUUAAUGUGGAAGAAUAGAGGCAAGUGUUGGUAAACUACAAAACCUUCCAAAGAUGCUGAACUCCACCAUCCCUUAGGAUUCUUCAAAGCUUUCCUCUUGUUUUUUAGACUUUUAUCUGGAAGCACCCACACAGCUGAUAGCAGCAAUCACAGGUGUUUUGGUUUGCAAGCAACACGCACAACACAACUCUCUAACAGGUUUUGCUUUUGCCUUCAGCAUGUUUGGGCCAAGAUAAACAGCAUGGAAAAACACACAGAGCAAAAGUGAUCAGAGGAGCCAUCAGAGCCAGAGUGAGUACAAGCCAGUAGAACAAACUUCAGCACCAGCCCUGUGCCCUGUGAGAAAGCUCUUUAACAUGAACAGCUCUCUCCCAGCUGACAGUGAAGGGCCAACACCACCCUGCUCUCUGUGAAGGGCUGCAUCUUGGAUCCAAGAGCCUGCUUAUGAAAAGAGAGUUCCUGCCAAUCAUACAAAGGAAGAGUGGUGGCUGUUACCUCCCUGGCCAAGGCUCCUACUUCUGCACGGCAGCGCCUGACCAAAUUAACAGUCCUACUAAUUAACACUGUAAAAUCUGGAUUUUGGCAAAUUGAGAAGUGUCCAAACAAGUAAAAUGGCAAGAAUCCUGAUUCACAAAACUCAUCACUCAUUUGUUCUGACAGCUACAGUUUAGUAUUGUAUUUAUCCUGAAAGGUGCCAACAGUCACCAGAGGGGGAUUUAGGGAGGCACAGACUCUACUGCAGCCAAUAUGCUUGCAGAAAAGCAGAUUAUUAAAGUAAUCAGAUGCACAAGUCAGAAGUAGCCUGUGAGGACUUAGAUGUGUUCUUGGUUGCAAAAUCAAGGAGUAACAAUCUGGUCAUACACUAACUUUCUGCUGUAAAGUGACACCAACAGAAGAGAACAGAAGCAUAACGCUGAAAGGAAUUAAAGAGAAGAGCACCCCGGAUACAGCGAGACUUCAAACUGACAGACUUCAAAAUCCCUAACCGUGAUCAUCUCUCACUUUCAGGGAAACAGGGUUGCACACUUUUACUCUAUAAACAAACAGCACUUGCAGACCAAUGAGUUCAUCUGACUCUUCUUGCUUGAAUUACCUGAAGGCAUCCAUUUCUCAGCAAGGCCCAGCACUUCCACUGAUUAGUGAGUCCCAAUGGGGGUAGCAGUUUUUACAUUCAAAAGUGCAUCAUAAACCAGACAGGAAGAUGUAUGUUCUGCCUCAUCUUACAGGUAAAUUCUGAAACCUGACAGAAAGCUAUGACUAACUCCAAACACAGUAAUACCUAGUCAUUAAUUGAAAUUGAGGCCUUAACCCUUGAUAGCAAAAGGACUUUCCAAGAACUAGUACAGUUUAAUCAAUGAGUCCACAGAAAACCCCUUGCAGAAUCAAUUUAUUUCAGAGAAAAUAUAACAAUAUGGGACAGCAAGAUCAACAGGCAAGAUUUGAAAUGGUGAUAAUGAUAAAUCAAAGGUAAGACUAGAGAAAAAGGAAGAUUCUACAGAAAAUGGCACUUCCCAGUCACCUCUCUAAAUUUUAUUCCCCACAAGAUAGGUUUACCUCUGAUAAGGUAAAACAGAAUGGCAAGAAAAUGUACCAAUUUUCACAACUAGUUACAGCAACUACAAUUCCUGUAAAGAGCAGUAAAUUUAUCACAACAUCUUCAGGAAUGUCAUAAGGAAUUAGUCUAGAGAAACAACACUGAAGUACAUAUGCUCAAAACAUGGAGCAUCAUCAACAUUUUGCUCGAUGUGCCAACUUGAUUACCAAGAGGAAAGUAAGUGUACAAACAGAUAACUGCUGCAAAAACUAUCUCUGCUCCAAACACACCAGGGCAGACUCCCCAGUGGGACACUUUUACCAACACAGGAAGAACUCAGCUCAAUGUAUUCACAAGCAGGUUUUACCAUUGUGAGAAUUAAUAAAAUGCCAAAUCUGAUUAAAUCCUCUGCAAUUUGUAAGAAAGGACACUCUUUUACUGUUUUGUAGAAUUUUAUGGACAAUAAAAUUUAAAUUGUCUAGAAAAUUGAAAUGGAUUUCCAUUUCAUUUCCCUGCACUAAUGAACAGAUCACCAUUUAAAUGACGACUGAGCCAUUUAAGGGCAUCAUUUUUCUUCUACAGUUUAUGCAGAGUAAUGCAUGGCCAUUUUCAAUUACUUGUUAAAAUUAAAUCUCCAGUUACUGCUUCUAGAUUUUUACUCAUUUGCACCCAUAUGAAAGUUUUGCUUUCAAAGCUCAGUUUUAUCUACUUUCAACUUAGCUCAAAUGGUUUCUCCCAAUUAAACACCAGCUCUCCUCAUUAUUUAAAUCUAUUACUGAAACAGAACUACGCAAACAAAAGAACAAAAACAAAAAUCAAAAGCCACAAUUAGGAAAGUUCUCUUCAUGGGAAACUGCUCACCUACGUAGUUGUCAGCAUUCCUCUGUUCAAGCUAUUUCCUCUGUGACUUGUAUGAUCCUUUCCACAUGGCCUUGCAGGAAGGAAAUCUAAGGACACUCAAGGAGAUCAUCUGUUAUCCAAACUUUCUGGUCCUUUCCCUUCAUCACUGCCACACGUUCUGCUGGGCUUUGCACUGCUGCCUCAGGCCGGCCCCUGUUGGCAACUAUUGGACCUCAUUUUGCAAUAACCUAUCCAUGGUCUUUGAGAGUUCAGCACCGGAUCUGACUUUUGCACACCAAAACCACCAACCAGCACCUGGAUUUCUGGACAAAACUUACCCCCAUCACUGAUGCAACCCAAGAGUUCAAUGGCUAAAGUCACUUGCAAAGUUCAAGCAAAAUUCUCUUGUCUGUUCCUUUUGGUCAUUGCUUCAAACUCAUUUAAUUAAGGAAUCUUACGUUUAGAGCAAUUCUUUGUUCCAAAUUAUAAUUGGAUUGAGGUGGCUUCUCUCUACUCCCACCAGAGCACCCGUGUGGGAAGUUUAUAGCUGGCUGCAUUCCUUGCUGAUCAUGUUCAGAUCUGAAAUGGCCAGUGAGACCACAAGGAGGAAGGACCCAAGGCUUCCCCUGAGACUGCAGUGAUCUCAAUUCUCAUUAGGCUUAAAGCCUCUACUCAGCUGUGCUUUAAGGACUACUGCAAGGUGUGGGCAUGUCUGCCUGUGGUGAAAGUUAAGGACACAGUUCAGAGAAUUACCAAGACAAAGCAUUUCUCUUCAACACUUAACUUUCAUCCAGUGACUUACAAAAGCUUCUGCUGUCUAUGUAGCAGUACAGCACAGUCUUUUUUUAGGUUUUGUCUUCUCUGAGAACAAAAGAAAAGGUAAAAUUUUAAUGCCUAUAAAUUACCCCAACAUAAAAGCAGAGUGGGAUGGAGGUACUCUGGUGUCAUUUUGAAGAGAACCAAAGGUGGGUGGUAGAGUGCUGGCCUCAACCAGACAGCUGAUGGAAAAAUUGCUUAUCCCUCAUCUCACAGACUCCAGAGAGAAGACACUUCUUUGGAUUAAUUGUAUUGUCCCCAAACCCAAAAUUAAACAAAACCCUAAAAACAACUAAAAGUGGGUACCUGGAAGUCUGUGUGUUCCAUAGCUCACCUGGUUUACACUCAGCAGGCCCUUCAAGCUGACUUCGCUCUAAGCAGUCACACUGUGAAACCAGCAGUGACCUCUGCACUGACCAGACACCAGAGAGGCUGUGCUCAUCACCCAGGAGCUGCCAGGUCUGCUCAGGUGACAGACCGCCAGCAAGUGCUAAGGGCAUGGCUGCACCUGACAGGAUUAAUGGACACUGGACAUAAGGACAACAAUUAAUUCUCAGUUCAGAUCUCCUCUACUGUGAAAUUAAGCCCCUAAAGCUAGUGCACUUAACUGGACUACGCUGCACCUGUGUGCUUUGCCUCUCUGCAGCUCACUCUGAAGCUUUUGAUGCAAUAAAACCUUGGUAAGCCACCCUGGGGUGUUGUUACUUCAAUAACCACAGCCAGACUGCAAAGGGGUCAUCAUCAACCUGCCAAUCCCUUCUUGCACAUGCACAGCUUUUACUUCUGGGUACAACAGUACAAACAAGUUAGGUGACUAUUUUCUACACAGGGUUUUCAAGCACUUCCCAAACAAACCUAAAGACAAAUUGGUGCAAAACCUCCCCUUUUCUGGUAUCACUAAAUAGUUAGAAAGAUUUAAUACUGCUCAUAACACAAAUAAGAAUAAUGAAGUUUGGAAUUAUGUUGACUAAACCAAUGAGGCUGGAGACAAAGAUGACAUUUACCGAUGAAGACUAAUUUGGGGUGGUUAAAGAAUAAUUGUCACUGGUAUGACUAGGUCUGAGUCAUGCUCCUCCCACACACUAAUCACAGGUGUGCUUGCAGACCAAAAUCAAGAGGUGCACAUGGUAUUUACAGGAAUGUGACAUGGGAAUAACUCAUAGACAGUGGCUUCUCAAGGGCCACUGCUUUACUGACAAGUGAAAUGACAGGCUAGUGAAGACACAGAUGGUUUAUCAAAAAAUAACUGGAACCACUGUUGUGUUUUUAAUGACAAACCAUGGAUGACUGCAUGUGAGAGGAAUACUUGCCUCUGAAGUGGUGAAGAGGGUUACAGCCUAACUUUCUGAAACAGGUAUUAAUUUCUCUUCCUAUGGCUCUAGUCUUGAAAGUACUUUUCUUCCAGGCUGAGUCUGCUAUUUUAUUAGAACUCAGCAGGACUAAAA